UGGCCAGACUCCUACGGGAGGCAGCAGUAGGGAAUAUUGCUCAAUGGGGGAAACCCUGAAGCAGCAACGCCGCGUGGAGGACGAAGGUUUUCGGAUUGUAAACUCCUUUUGUUAGAGAAGAUAAUGACGGUAUCUAACGAAUAAGCACCGGCUAACUCCGUGCCAGCAGCCGCGGUAAUACGUAGGAUCCGAGCAUUAUCCGGAGUGACUGGGUGUAAAGAGUUGCGUAGGUGGCAUAGUAAGUAGCUAGUGAAAUCUGGUGGCUCAACCAUUCAGACUAUUAGCUAAACUGCUAAGCUCGAGACCGUUAGGGGUAACUGGAAUUUCUAGUGUAGGAGUGAAAUCCGUAGAUAUUAGAAGGAACACCGAUAGCGUAGGCAGGUUACUGGGACGGUUCUGACACUAAGGCACGAAAGCGUAGGGAGCAAACGGGAUUAGAUACCCUGGUAC
rnacentral:rRNA from 1 species